rnacentral:rRNA from 1 species
UUUUUCGCAACGUUGGUCUGCGUCAAUCGAGCAACGAUCGAUAGAGACGGUCGGGGGCAUUCGUAUUGCGCAGUUAGAGGUGAAAUUCUCCGAUCUGCGCAAGACGCACUAAUGCGAAAGCAGUUGCCAAGGACGUCCUCUUAUGAUCAAGAGCGAAAGUCGGGGGAUCAAAGAUGAUUAGAUACCGUCGUAGUCCCGACCAUAAAUGAUGCCGACUGAGCGUCGGCGACUCGGCCUUCGGCCGUACGUCGGCGCUCUUGAGAGAAAUUAAAGUCUUUGGGCUCCGGGGGUAGUAUGGUCGCAAGUCUGAAACUUGAAGGAAUUGACGGAAGGGCACCACAAGGCGUGGAUGUUGCGGCUUAAUUUGACUCAACACGGGGAAGCUUACUAGGUUUGGACACUUGAAUGAGGGACAUAUUGAAGCUCUUACCUUUUUUUGUGGAUGGUGGUGCAUGGUCGUUCUCAGCCCGUGGGUUGACCUGUCAGGUUUACUCCGGUAACGCGCGAGACCUCGGUUUGCUAAAUAGACGCGGCUGUCUCGGCACCCGCGCUCUUCUUAGAGAGAGUCUCGACGAGAGUCGAGGGAAGUCGAGGCAAUAACAGAUCUGUGAUGCCCUUAGUUAUCCUAGGUCGCACGCGCCAAACAAUGUCGCUUACAACGAGUUCCUAGGCCGACAGGCGUUCUCCCUCGAGCGCGGUCGCGGCAGACCCCGAGGGCCAGUCGCUCCGAGAGAGCGGCCGUCCGAGGGCGUUCGGMGCUUCCGCGCCGAUCGAGAUCGACCGGGCAAUCUUGC